GACGAACGCUUGCGGCGUGCCUAAGAAAUGCAAGUCGAACGGACAGUAGCAAUACUGUUAGUGGCGAACGGUCGCGUAACACGUAGGCAACCUGCCCAAAGGUGGGGGACAACAGCCUGAAAGGGCUGCUAAUACCGCAUGUGGCCCGGAGUUGGCAUCAACUCUGGUCUAAAGCUUUAUGCGCUUUUGGAUGGGCUUGC
rnacentral:rRNA from 1 species